rnacentral:rRNA from 1 species
CGCGGCCUAUCAGCUUGUUGGUGAGGUAAUGGCUCACCAAGGCUUCGACGGGUAGCCGGCCUGAGAGGGCGACCGGCCACACUGGGACUGAGAUACGGCCCAGACUCCUACGGGAGGCAGCAGUGGGGAAUAUUGCACAAUGGGCGCAAGCCUGAUGCAGCAACGCCGCGUGCGGGAUGACGGCCUUCGGGUUGUAAACCGCUUUCAGUAGGGACGAAGCUAACGUGACGGUACCUACAGAAGAAGGACCGGCUAACUACGUGCCAGCAGCCGCGGUGAUACGUAGGGUCCGAGCGUUGUCCGGAAUUAUUGGGCGUAAAGGGCUUGUAGGCGGUCCGUCGCGUCAGGAGUGAAAACUUGGGGCUUAACCCCGAGCCUGCUUUUGAUACGGGCGGACUAGAGGGAUGCAGGGGAGAACGGAAUUCCUGGUGGAGCGGUGGAAUGCGCAGAUAUCAGGAGGAACACCGGUGGCGAAGGCGGUUCUCUGGGCAUCACCUGACGCUGAGAAGCGAAAGCGUGGGGAGCAAACAGGCUUAGAUACCCUGGUAGUCCACGCCGUAAACGGUGGGCACUAGGUGUGGGGGACAUUCCACGUUCUCCGUGCCGAAGCUAACGCAUUAAGUGCCCCGCCUGGGGAGUACGG